rnacentral:rRNA from 1 species
UUUCGCAAUGCCCGAAAGGGUGACGAAGCGACGCCGCGUGGGUGAGGAAGGCCUUCGGGUUGUAAAGCCCUGUCAGGAGUUAAGAAAUGUAAGUGCGCUAAUACCGCAUUUAUUUGACGAGGGCUCCAAAGGAAGUCACGGCUAACUCUGUGCCAGCAGCCGCGGUAAUACAGAGGUGGCAAGCGUUGUUCGGAAUUAUUGGGCGUAGAGAGCACGUAGGUGGGUUUGUAAGUCAGAUGUGAAAGCCUCCUGUUCAACGGGAGAAUUGCAUCUGAAACUACAGAUCUUGAGUGUAGGAGGGGAGAAUGGAACUUCUGGUGGAGCGGUGAAAUGCGUAGAUAUCAGAAGGAACGCCGGCGGCGAAAGCGAUUCUCAGGCCUAUUACUGACACUCAGUGUGCGAAAGCUAGGGUAGCAAACGGGAUUAGAUACCCCGGUAGUCCUAGCCGUAAACGAUGGGCACUAAGUAGAGGGGUUUUA